UGUGUGUGUGUGUUUUUGCGUGUGAACCUAGCGCCACCGUGUGUGUGUGUGUGUGUGUGUGUGUGUGUGUGUGUGUGUGUGUGUGUGUGUGUGUGUGUGUGUGUGUGUGUGUGUGUGUGUGUGUGUGUGUGUGUGUUUCUCUCCUACGUCUGGUUGGUUACAGGAUCCUCUGAGGUUUCCUGUCCACCAAGGUCUCAAAGGGCUCUAGGUUUUCAGUGGCUCUAGGUUUUUAAUGGUGCUAUGUUUUCAGUGGCUCUAGGUUUUUAAUGGUGCUAUGUUUUCAGUGGCUCUAGGUUUUUAAUGGUGCUAUGUUUUCAGUGGCUCUAGGUUUUCAAUGGUGCUAUGUUUUCAGUGGCUCUAGGUUUUCAAUGGUGCUAUGUUUUCAGUGGCUCUAGGUUUUCAAUGGUGCUAUGUUUUCAGUGGCUCUAGGUUUUCAAUGGUGCUAUGUUUUCAGUGGCUCUAGGUUUUCAAUGGUGCUAUGUUUUCAGUGGCUCUAGGUUUUCAAUGGUGCUAUGUUUUCAGUGGCUCUAGGUUUUCAAUGGUGCUAUGUUUUCAGUGGCUCUAGGUUUUCAAUGGUGCUAUGUUUUCAGUGGCUCUAGGUUUUCAAUGGUGCUAUGUUUUCAGUGGCUCUAGGUUUUCAAUGGUGCUAUGUUUUCAGUGGCUCUAGGUUUUCAAUGGUGCUAUGUUUUCAGUGGCUCUAGGUUUUCAAUGGUGCUAUGUUUUCAGUGGCUCUAGGUUUUUAAUGGUGCUAUGUUUUCA